AUUGAACGCUGGCGGCAGGCCUAACACAUGCAAGUCGAGCGGGAACUUCGGUUCUAGCGGCGGACGGGUGAGUAAUGCGUAGGAAGCUACCCGACAGAGGGGGAUACCAGUUGGAAACGACUGUUAAUACCGCAUAAUGUCUACGGACCAAAGUGUGGGACCUUCGGGCCACAUGCUGUCGGAUGCGCCUACGUGGGAUUAGCUAGUUGGUGAGGUAAUGGCCCACCAAGGCGACGAUCCCUAGCUGGUUUGAGAGGAUGAUCAGCGCACACUGGAACUGAGACACGGUCCAGACUCCUACGGGAGGCAGCAGUGGGGAAUAUUGGACAAUGGGCGAAAGCCUGAUCCAGCCAUGCCGCGUGUGUGAAGAAGGCCUUCGGGUUGUAAAGCACUUUCAGUAGGGAGGAAGAGUUGAGUGUUAAUAGUACUCAGCUUUGACGUUACCUACAGAAGAAGCACCGGCUAACUCUGUGCCAGCAGCCGCCGUAACAC
rnacentral:rRNA from 1 species